UACGUAGGGACCAAGCGUUGUUCGGAUUUACUGGGCGUAAAGGGCGCGUAGGCGGCUUUGCAAGACAGAUGUGAAAUCCCCGGGCUUAACCUGGGGACUGCAUUUGUGACUGCAUAGCUAGAGUACGGUAGAGGGGGAUGGAAUUCCGCGUGUAGCAGUGAAAUGCGUAGAUAUGCGGAGGAACACCGAUGGCGAAGGCAAUCCCCUGGGCCUGCACUGACGCUCAUGCACGAAAGCGUGGGGAGCAAACAGG
rnacentral:rRNA from 1 species